AUGGAGCAGACUUUCAUCAUGAUCAAGCCCGACGGCGUCCAGAGAGGCCUGGUAAGUCCCAUUCCCCGUCUCUACACGGAACAACCCCUACGUGCUUGUCUGAAUCUGGCGAUCGGUUUCUGCUCCGGGUUACUGGAACCAUCUCUAAUCAUUGGUUUCGUGUUUGCAAUUUCUCUUCUGCAGAUUGGGGAUAUCAUCAGCCGAUUUGAGAAGAAAGGGUACUACUUGAAGGCGAUGAAGUUUAUGAAUGUGGAGAAAUCCUUCGCGCAGCAGCACUAUGCCGAUCUCUCUGCCCAGCCCUUCUUUGCCAAGUUGGUGGAUUACAUCAUUUCCGGCCCUGUUGUGGCCAUGGUGUGGGAGGGGAAGGAUGUUGUCUUGACUGGCCGAAGGAUCAUCGGGGCCACCAGGCCCUGGGAGGCAGCUCCUGGCACCAUCCGUGGUGACCAUGCUGUGGAGGUUAGCAGGAAUGUAAUUCAUGGAAGUGAUUCUGUGGAGAACGGAAAGAAGGAGAUCGCUCUGUGGUUCCCAGGAGGCUUGGCCGAAUGGAAGAGCAACCUCCACCCUUGGAUCUACGAGAACUGA
rnacentral:rRNA from 1 species